CCAUCUCCCUAACAGACUUUCUAGCUGAGGAUGGGGGCACCGGUGGAGGAAGCACCUAUGUCCCCAAACCAGUCAGCUGGGCUGAUGAAACAGACGAUCUGGAAGGAGAUGUGUCAACAACCUGGCACAGUAACGAUGACGAUGUGUACAGGGCACCUCCAAUUGACAGAUCCAUCCUUCCCACUGCUCCACGGGCUGCUCGGGAACCCAAUAUCGACCGGAGCCGUCUUCCCAAAUCGCCACCCUACACUGCUUUCCUAGGGAACCUGCCCUAUGAUGUGACAGAAGACUCUAUUAAGGAAUUCUUUAGAGGACUAAAUAUCAGCGCUGUACGCUUACCACGUGAACCCAGCAAUCCAGACAGGUUGAAAGGCUUUGGCUAUGCGGAGUUUGAGGACCUGGAUUCUCUGCUCAGUGCUCUGAGUCUCAAUGAAGAGUCUCUAGGUAACAGGAGAAUUCGAGUGGACGUUGCUGAUCAAGCACAGGAUAAAGACCGGGAUGAUCGUUCUUUUGGUCGAGAUAGAAAUCGGGAUUCUGA